rnacentral:ncRNA from 2 species
CACUCUGCGCCGCUUUCAGGUGACCCCACGCGCAGCUGCACGCGCGGCGGGUUGAAACGGGAAGCUGGUGAGCCUUGAACCAGGCGAUUCCGGCGCUGCCCCCGCAACGGUAAGCGAGUCAUGCCAACGCAUCGGCCACUGUGCGCGACACGCACGGGAAGGCGCGGCGGCGGAAGUGCCGGCACUUCCAACUCGCAAGCCCGGAGACCGGCCUGGAGCGCGGAUUCGCC